rnacentral:rRNA from 1 species
UACGUAGGGUGCGAGCGUUGUCCGGAAUUAUUGGGCGUAAAGGGCUCGUAGGCGGUCUGUCACGUCGGGAGUGAAAACACGGGGCUUAACCCCGUGCCUGCUUCCGAUACGGGCAGACUAGAGGUAUGCAGGGGAGAACGGAAUUCCUGGUGUAGCGGUGAAAUGCGCAGAUAUCAGGAGGAACACCGAUGGCGAAGGCAGUUCUCUGGGCCGUAACUGACGCUGAGGAGCGAAAGCGUGGGGAGCGAACAGG